ACCAGGUUUUCCGAAGGAAAAAACUGGUUAUUAGAUUGGCGAAUGCGGGCGGGCUGGCUAGCUGGCGGGCUGGCUGGCGGGCUGGCGGAAUAAGCUUGUCCGGGUCAUAACUAUGUCGUUCAUUGUCAGAUUUUAAAAUCAUUUGGCACAUUUGUUCACCAUCAUUGGACGGUGUGUCGCGCGAAAUAAUUACGUCGAUAUCUCCAAGGUCAAGGUCACACUUUGAGUUCAAAGGUCAAAAAUGGCCAUAAAUGAGCUUGUCCUGGCCAUAACUAUGUCAUUCAUUGUGAGAUUUUAAAAUCAUUUGGCACAUUUGUUCACCAUCAUGGGACGGUGUGUCCCACGAAAGAAUCACGUCAAUAUCUCCAAUGUCAAGGUCGCCACGACUAAAAAUAGAUUUAAAAAAAAAAAACUUACAAAGG